CCUACGGGUGGCAGCAGUGGGGAAUAUUGGGCAAUGGGCGCAAGCCUGACCCAGCAACGCCGCGUGAAGGAAGAAGGCUCUCGGGUUGUAAACUUUCUUUAAGAGGGAAGAGCAGAAGACGGUACCUCUUGAAUAAGCCACGGCUAACUACGUGCCAGCAGCCGUCGUAAUACGUAGGUGGCAAGCGUUGUCCGGAUUUACUGGGUGUAAAGGGCGUGCAGCCGGGAAGACAAGUCAGAUGUGAAAUCCCGCGGCUCAACCGCGGAACUGCAAUUGAAGCUGUUUUUCUUGAGUAACGGAGAAGUCAUCGGAAUUCCGUGUGUAGCGGUGAAAUGCGU
rnacentral:rRNA from 1 species